ACGAACGCUGGCGGCGUGCUUAACACAUGCAAGUCGAACGGAAAGGCCCUGCUUUUGUGGGGUGCUCGAGUGGCGAACGGGUGAGUAACACGUGAGUAACCUGCCCUUGACUUUGGGAUAACUUCAGGAAACUGGGGUUAAUACCGGAUAGGAGCUCCUGCUGCAUGGUGGGGGUUGGAAAGUUUCGGCGGUUGGGGAUGGACUCGCGGCUUAUCAGCUUGUUGGUGGGGUAGUGGCUUACCAAGGCUUUGACGGGUAGCCGGCCUGAGAGGGUGACCGGCCACAUUGGGACUGAGAUACGGCCCAGACUCCUACGGGAGGCAGCAGUGGGGAAUAUUGCACAAUGGGCGGAAGCCUGAUGCAGCAACGCCGCGUGCGGGAUGACGGCCUUCGGGUUGUAAACCGCUUUCGCCUGUGACGAAGCGUGAGUGACGGUAAUGGGUAAAGAAGCACCGGCUAACUACGUG
rnacentral:rRNA from 1 species